GAGUCUGAGUGCAGUGGUGUUUACACCUAACUGAUCACAACCAUUUUACAGAUUUCUUUGUUCCUUCUCCACUUCCCACUGCUUCACUUGGCUACACUAAA
ensembl:Y_RNA Y_RNA Y RNA